rnacentral:rRNA from 1 species
UACGUAGGGAGCAAGCGUUGUUCGGAUUUACUGGGCGUAAAGGGCGCGUAGGCGGCAGAUCAAGUCAGUUGUGAAAUCUCUGAGCUUAACUCAGAACUGUCAACUGAUACUGCUCUGCUAGAGUGCGGAAGGGGCAAUCGGAAUUCUUGGUGUAGCGGUGAAAUGCGUAGAUAUCAAGAGGAACACCUGAGGUGAAGACGGGUUGCUGGGCCGACACUGACGCUGAGGAGCGAAAGCCAGGGGAGCAAACGGG